rnacentral:rRNA from 1 species
UACGUAGGGUGCAAGCGUUGUCCGGAAUUAUUGGGCGUAAAGAGCUCGUAGGCGGUCUGUCACGUCGGCUGUGAAAUCCCGAGGCUCAACCUCGGGUCUGCAGUCGAUACGGGGCAACUAGAGUAUUGCAGGGGAGACUGGAAUUCCUGGUGUAGCGGUGAAAUGCGCAGAUAUCAGGAGGAACACCGGUGGCGAAGGCGGGUCUCUGGACGAGUUCCUGACGCUGGAGGCA